rnacentral:rRNA from 1 species
GCAUAACGCGAAGAACCUUACCUGGGCUUGAACUGUCGGUAUAGGGACCCGAAAGGGCGACGAUCCCGGGCAACCGGGAAGCCGAUAGAGGUGCUGCAUGGCUGUCGUCAGCUCGUGUCGUGAGAUGUUGGGUUAAGUCCCGCAACGAGCGCAACCCUUGUCUUUAGUUGCCAGCGAGUCAUGUCGGGCACUCUAAGGAGACUGCCUCGGAUAACGAGGAGGAAGGUGGGGAUGACGUCAAGUCAGCAUGGCCUUUAUGUCCAGGGCUACACACGUGCUACAAUGGGCGGUACAGAAGGACGCGAGACCGCGAGGUCAAGCCAACCCUUAAAACCGUUCUCAGUUCGGAUUGCAGGCUGCAACUCGCCUGCAUGAAGUCGGAAUCGCUAGUAAUCGCGGAUCAGCUACGCCGCGGUGAAUACGUUCUCGGGUCUUGUACACACCG